UCUUAAGCAGAACAUAAUGUCUUCUAACCACUGUGCAUGAGUGGGAGGGAAAGCCUUCCUCCACCUGAGCCAGAAGGACGGCAGAGGAUAAAGUGCGUUGUUUUUGUGUAGGUAGCUUAUCUUCACCUUCCAUGACCCCAAGUAGAGCAGUCAAGUGGUUUGGUUCUAGCUUGAUGGUUAACAGCUGAGAAAGUGUAUGAAAGAUUUCCCUCCAAUGUUUCAUUUGACACAGUAUGGACUAAUAUCAGGGUAUAUGGAAGACAGUUUUGCUUUUGAAAUAUGAGCC